CCUACGGGUGGCAGCAGUGGGGAAUAUUGGACAAUGGGGGAACCCUGAUCCAGCCAUGCCGCGUGUGUGAAGAAGGCCCUCGGGUUGUAAAGCACUUUCAGUGAGGAAGAACGCCUGGUGGUUAAUACCCAUCAGGAAAGACAUCACUCACAGAAGAAGCACCGGCUAACUCCGUGCCAGCAGCCGCGGUAAUACGGAGGGUGCGAGCGUUAAUCGGAAUUACUGGGCGUAAAGCGCGCGUAGGUGGCUUGAUAAGCCGGUUGUGAAAGCCCCGGGCUCAACCUGGGAACGGCAUCCGGAACUGUCAAGCUAGAGUGCAGGAGAGGAAGGUAGAAUUCCCGGUGUAGCGGUGAAAUGCGUAGAGAUCGGGAGGAAUACCAGUGGCGAAGGCGGCCUUCUGGACUGAAACUGACACUGAGGUGCGAAAGCGUGGGUAGCAAACAGGAUUAGAUACCCUAGUAGUC
rnacentral:rRNA from 1 species